GGCCGUGGAGCGUGCCCAAGAUCCCCUCUCCUUUGGAAAAGGCAGUGAAGAGAUGCUGUUGAGCCGACAUCUUUUCAGAGGUCCGGAAACGGCUGCCGCACCUCCAGUCCAGGGUCCCUUUUCCUUUGAGGAGGUGUCCAUCGAUUU